rnacentral:misc_RNA from 1 species
AACGCACAUUGCGCCCUUCGGUAUUCCGUUGGGCAUGCCUGUUCGAGCGUCAUUUAAGCAUUCAAGCUCAGCUUGGUGUUGGGUGCUUGUCCUCCCCCGCGGUGGACUCACCUCAAAUGCAUUGGCGGCCGGUAUGUUGGCUUCGAGCGCAGUAGAAACGCGCCAGACGUCCUGACAUGCUGGUCCCCCACAAGACCAUUCUUUAUAGCUUGACCUCGGAUCAGGUAGGGAUACCCGCUGAACUUAA